rnacentral:rRNA from 1 species
ACUCCUACGGGAGGCAGCAGUGGGGAAUUUUGGACAAUGGGCGAAAGCCUGAUCCAGCAAUGCCGCGUGUGUGAAGAAGGCCUUCGGGUUGUAAAGCACUUUUGUCCGGAAAGAAAUCCUUGGCUCUAAUACAGUCGGGGGAUGACGGUACCGGAAGAAUAAGCACCGGCUAACUACGUGCCAGCAGCCGCGGUAAUACGUAGGGUGCGAGCGUUAAUCGGAAUUACUGGGCGUAAAGCGUGCGCAGGCGGUUUGCUAAGACCGAUGUGAAAUCCCCGGGCUCAACCUGGGAACUGCAUUGGUGACUGGCAGGCUAGAGUAUGGCAGAGGGGGGUAGAAUUCCACGUAUAGCAGUGAAAUGCGUAGAGAUGUGGAGGAAUACCGAUGGCGAAGGCAGCCCCCUGGGCCAAUACUGACGCUCAUGCACGAAAGCGUGGGGAGCAAACAGGAUUAGAAACCCCUGUAGUCCCAUGA